GUGUUUGUAGUCCAACGGUUAGGAUAAUUGGCUUCCAAGCAAUAGAUUCGGGUUCAACCGCAAAUAUA
rnacentral:tRNA from 1 species